GCCCAGGUGGCGAAACGGCAGACGCGCUAGGUUGAGGGCCUAGUCCCCGUUUAGGGGGUAAGGGUUCAAAUCCCUUCCUGGGCACCA
rnacentral:tRNA from 1 species